rnacentral:rRNA from 2 species
GUUGUAUAGUCAAGUAAUUAAGUGCAUGUGGUGGAUGCCUUGGCAGUCAGAGGCGAUGAAAGACGUGAUAGCCUGCGAAAAGCUCCGGGGAGGCGGCAAAUAUCCUUUGAUCCGGAGAUGUCUGAAUGGGGGAACCCACCUACUUUAAGGUAGGUAUUGCAACAUGAAUACAUAGUGUUGCAAGGCGAACGAGGGGAAGUGAAACAUCUCAGUACCCUUAGGAAAAGAAAUCAAUUGAGAUUCCCUCAGUAGCGGCGAGCGAACGGGGAUCAGCCCAUUAAGUUAUGUGUGUUUUAGUGGAACGCUCUGGGAAGUGCGAACGUAGAGGGUGAUAUUCCCGUACACGAAAGGGCACACAUAAUGAUGACGAGUAGGGCGAGGCACGUGAAACCUUGUCUGAAUAUGGGGGGACCAUCCUCCAAGGCUAAAUACUCCUGACUGACCGAUAGUGAACCAGUACCGUGAGGGAAAGGCGAAAAGAACCCCUGUGAGGGGAGUGAAAUAGAUCCUGAAACCGCAUGCAUACAAGCAGUGGGAGCACCUUCGUGGUGUGACUGCGUACCUUUUGUAUAAUGGGUCAGCGACUUAUAUUCAGUAGCGAGGUUAACCGUAUAGGGGAGCCGUAGAGAAAUCGAGUCUUAAUAGGGCGUUUAGUUGCUGGGUAUAGACCCGAAACCAGGCGAUCUAUCCAUGAGCAGGUUGAAGGUUGGGUAACACUAACUGGAGGACCGAACCCACUGUCGUUGAAAAGCCAGGGGAUGACUUGUGGAUAGGGGUGAAAGGCUAAUCAAGCCUGGUGAUAGCUGGUUCUCCCCGAAAGCUAUUUAGGUAGCGCCUCGGACGAAUACCAUAGGGGGUAGAGCACUGUUUCGGCUAGGGGGUCAUCCCGACUUACCAAACCGAUGCAAACUCCGAAUACCUAUGAGUACUAUCCGGGAGACAGACUGCGGGUGCUAACGUCCGUAGUCAAGAGGAAAACAAUCCAGACCGCCAGCUAAGGCCCCAAAAUCAUAGUUAAGUGGGAAACGAUGUGGGAAGGCAUAGACAGCUAGGAGGUUGGCUUAGAAGCAGCCACCCUUUAAAGAAAGCGUAAUAGCUCACUAGUCGAGUCGGCCUGCGCGGAAGAUGUAACGGGGCUAAAACUAUGUGCCGAAGCUGCGGAU